rnacentral:rRNA from 1 species
CCCUUAGAUGUUCUGGGCUGCACACGUGCUACACUGGCAGGUUCAGCGAGCUUCAUGCCCUGAUCUGAAAGGAAUGGGAAAUCUUUACAAAACCUGCCGUGCUUGGGAUAGAUGUUUGCAAUUAUUCAUCUUCAACGAGGAUUGCCUUGUAAGCGCACGUCAUCAGCGUGCAUUGAAUACGACCCUGUAUUCUGUACACACCGCCCGUCGCUCCUACCGAUUGAAGUUUUCGGUGAGUUGACAGGAGGAUUUUUUUGAAACUGGUUCGCCAGUGGAUUUUAGAUCCAAAUGCCAACGAAUCGAUGGCUUUAGAGGAAGGAGAAGUCGUAACA